ACUCCUGCGGGAGGCAGCAGUGGGGAAUAUUGGACAAUGGGCGCAAGCCUGAUCCAGCCAUGCCGCGUGUGUGAAGAAGGCCUUCGGGUUGUAAAGCACUUUUGUCCGGAAAGAAAUCCUUGGCUCUAAUACAGUCGGGGGAUGACGGUACCGGAAGAAUAAGCACCGGCUAACUACGUGCCAGCAGCCGCGGUAAUACGUAGGGUGCGAGCGUUAAUCGGAAUUACUGGGCGUAAAGCGUGCGCAGGCGGUUUGCUAAGACCGAUGUGAAAUCCCCGGGCUCAACCUGGGAACUGCAUUGGUGACUGGCAGGCUAGAGUAUGGCAGAGGGGGGUAGAAUUCCACGUGUAGCAGUGAAAUGCGUAGAGAUGUGGAGGAAUACCGAUGGCGAAGGCAGCCCCCUGGGCCAAUACUGACGCUCAUGCACGAAAGCGUGGGGAGCAAACAGGAUUAGAUACCCCGGUAGUCCCAUG
rnacentral:rRNA from 1 species